CAGCAGCCACGGGAAUACGAAGGGGGCUAGCGUUGCUCGGAAUCACUGGGCGUAAAGGGUGCGUAGGCGGGUCUUUAAGUCAGGGGUGAAAUCCUGGAGCUCAACUCCAGAACUGCCUUUGAUACUGAAGAUCUUGAGUUCGGGAGAGGUGAGUGGAACUGCGAGUGUAGAGGUGAAAUUCGUAGAUAUUCGCAAGAACACCAGUGGCGAAGGCGGCUCACUGGCCCGAUACUGACGCUGAGGCACGAAAGCGUGGGGAGCAAACAGGAUUAGAUACCCCGGUAGUCCCUGUCUCUUAUAC
rnacentral:rRNA from 1 species